rnacentral:rRNA from 1 species
GAUGAACGCUGGCGGCGUGCCUAAUACAUGCAAGUCGAGCGAACGGACGAGAAGCUUGCUUCUCUGAUGUUAGCGGCGGACGGGUGAGUAACACGUGGAUAACCUACCUAUAAGACUGGGAUAACCUCGGGAAACCGGAGCUAAUACCGGCUGAUAUUUUGAACCGCAUGGUUCAAAAGUGAAAGACGGUCUUGCUGUCACUUAUAGAUGGAUCCGCGCUGCAUUAGCUAGUUGGUAAGGUAACGGCUUACCAAGGCAACGAUGCAUAGCCGACCUGAGAGGGUGAUCGGCCACACUGGAACUGAGACACGGUCCAGACUCCUACGGGAGGCAGCAGUAGGGAAUCUUCCGCAAUGGGCGAAAGCCUGACGGAGCAACGCCGCGUGAGUGAUGAAGGUCUUCGGAUCGUAAAACUCUGUUAUUAGGGAAGAACAUAUGUGUAAGUAACUGUGCACAUCUUGACGGUACCUAAUCAGAAAGCCACGGCUAACUACGUG